rnacentral:rRNA from 1 species
AUUGAACGCUGGCGGCAUGCCUUACACAUGCAAGUCGAACGGUAACAGGUCUUCGGAUGCUGACGAGUGGCGAACGGGUGAGUAAUACAUCGGAACGUGCCCGAGAGUGGGGGAUAACGAAGCGAAAGCUUUGCUAAUACCGCAUACGAUCUCAGGAUGAAAGCAGGGGACCGCAAGGCCUUGCGCUCACGGAGCGGCCGAUGGCAGAUUAGGUAGUUGGUGGGAUAAAAGCUUACCAAGCCGACGAUCUGUAGCUGGUCUGAGAGGACGACCAGCCACACUGGGACAGAGACACGGCCCAGGCUCCUACGGGAGGCAGCAGUGGGGAAUUUUGGACAAUGGGCGCAAGCUUGAUCCAGCCAUGCCGCGUGCAGGAUGAAGGCCUUCGGGUUGUAAACUGCUUUUGUACGGAACGAAAAGACUCUGGUUAAUACCUGGGGUCCAUGACGGUACCGUAAGAAUAAGCACCGGCUAACUACGUGCCAGCCGCCGCGGUAAAAC